CCUACGGGUGGCAGCAGUGGGGAAUAUUGGACAAUGGGGGGAACCCUGAUCCAGCCAUGCCGCGUGUGUGAAGAAGGCCCUCGGGUUGUAAAGCACUUUCAGUGAGGAAGAACGCCUGGUGGUUAAUACCCAUCAGGAAAGACAUCACUCACAGAAGAAGCACCGGCUAACUCCGUGCCAGCAGCCGCGGUAAUACGGAGGGUGCGAGCGUUAAUCGGAAUUACUGGGCGUAAAGCGCGCGUAGGUGGCUUGAUAAGCCGGUUGUGAAAGCCCCGGGCUCAACCUGGGAACGGCAUCCGGAACUGUCAAGCUAGAGUGCAGGAGAGGAAGGUAGAAUUCCCGGUGUAGCGGUGAAAUGCGUAGAGAUCGGGAGGAAUGCCAGUGGCGAAGGCGGCCUUCUGGACUGACACUGACACUGAGGUGCGAAAGCGUGGGUAGCAAACAGGAUUAGAUACCCCUGUAGUC
rnacentral:rRNA from 1 species